UACGUAGGGGGCAAGCGUUGUCCGGAAUCAUUGGGCGUAAAGAGCGUGUAGGCGGCCAGAUAAGUCCGCUGUGAAAUCUCGAGGCUCAACUUCGAGCUGUCGGUGGAAACUGUCUGGCUAGAGUCCGGAAGAGGAGAAUGGAAUUCCCGGUGUAGCGGUGAAAUGCGCAGAUAUCGGGAGGAACACCGGUGGCGAAGGCGGUUCUCUGGGCCUUACCUGACGCUGAGGAGCGAAAGCGUGGGGAGCGAACAGG
rnacentral:rRNA from 1 species